rnacentral:rRNA from 1 species
AACGAACGCUGGCGGCAGGCUUAACACAUGCAAGUCGAACGCGUGUAGCAAUACACGAGUGGCGCACGGGUGAGUAACGCGUGGAUAUCUGCCUUUUGGUUCGGAAUAACCCCGGGAAACUGGGGCUAAUACCGGAUGGUUCCUUCGGGAUAAAGAUUUAUCGCCAAAAGAUGAGUCCGCGUACGAUUAGCUAGUUGGUGAGGUAAUGGCUCACCAAGGCGACGAUCGUUAGCUGGUCUGAGAGGACGAUCAGCCACACUGGGACUGAGACACGGCCCAGACUCCUACGGGAGGCAGCAGUGGGGAAUAUUGGACAAUGGGGGCAACCCUGAUCCAGCAAUGCCGCGUGGGUGAUGAAGGCCUUCGGGUUGGUAAAGCCCUUUCGGCGGGGACGAUGAUGACGGUACCCGCAGAGAAGCCCCGGCUAACUUCGUGCCAGCAGCCGCGGUAA